CAUUGACACCAUGGCUGCUACCAAGUGGUUACUGCUCCUCUUCUCAGUAGCCCUGUUGGGCCUGAGCUCUGCUCAAUUCACUGAUGAGGAGGAUGAACAAAAUUCAGAAGAUCCAGUAGAUGUAGAACCAUUAGACUCCCAGCAGGAUGAUCAGAACCCUGGCCAGCAACAAGGUGGUAACCAGAAACCUGGACCUCCAGGUGGCCACCAAGGAGAUCCUCCAGGUGGACAGCAAGGAGUUCAGCAGGGUGGACAGCAAGGAGGCCAUCGAGGUGGUCAGCAAGGAGGCCAUCCGGGUGGCCACCAAAGAGGUCAUCCAGGUGGUCAGCAUGGAGGCCGUCCAGGUGGCCCACAAGGAGGUCAGCAAUAUGGCCAACAAGAAGGCCAUCCAGGUGGACCACAAGGAGGUCAGCAAGGUGGCCAGCAAGGAGGCCAUCCAGGUAGCCCACAAGGAGGCCAUCCAGGUAGCCCACAAGGAGGUCAUCCAGGUGGCCAGCAGGGUGGCCAUCCAGGUGGCCAGCAGGGAGGUCAUCCAGAUGGCCAGCAGGGAGGCCAUCCACGUGGCCAGUAAGGAGGGUAUCCACUCUUCCCACCCACAAGAUAUUUCUUUGUUCUUCUCAGUGAACCAAUGUCCAUAUUUGAACAUAUACUUGCUGUCAACUGACAUCGUAUCAGUCACAAAAUUUCUUUAGAGCUCUUUCUCCUUUCCUAUUUGUCUGACUGUUCAUCACACUUCUUUUCUUCCAACUAUUUACUCACCUUUGCUUAUCUCAGAACCGUUCUCAAUAAUAGAGACAGAGAGAGAGAGAAAGAGACAGAGAAAGUGGGAGGCAGACAGAGUCAGAGACAGAGAUAUAGAGAUAGAGAAAGGGAAGGAGGGGGAGAAGGAGAGGGGGAGAGAGAGAGACAGAGACAGAGGCAGAGACAGAGAUAUCAAAACUUCACCUAUUCUUUUCUCCCUUUCCUUCAUGCUACUCAUCCUCCCUGCCAAGGGUCUCUCCAAAUUUUGUGUUGUUUUCUUUUUAAAAUUUCUGGAAUGUAUGGCAUUGGCAUUGCUACUGCCAUUAUCCAAAAGACCAAGUCAAGCACAGUGUAUCUCCUCUAAGCCUCUUCCUUUCUUCUUUCAGUGAAUAAAAAGGAAGAUGUCCAUUCA
rnacentral:lncRNA from 1 species